AAAAAUGCACAUGCUGUGAGCUCGAUGAGUAGGGCGGGACACGUGGUAUCCUGUCUGAAUAUGGGGGGACCAUCCUCCAAGGCUAAAUACUCCUGACUGACCGAUAGUGAACCAGUACCGUGAGGGAAAGGCGAAAAGAACCCCGGCGAGGGGAGUGAAAAAGAACCUGAAACCGUGUACGUACAAGCAGUGGGAGCACGCUUAGGCGUGUGACUGCGUACCUUUUGUAUAAUGGGUCAGCGACUUAUAUUCUGUAGCAAGGUUAACCGAAUAGGGGAGCCGAAGGGAAACCGAGUCUUAACUGGGCGUUAAGUUGCAGGGUAUAGACCCGAAACCCGGUGAUCUAGCCAUGGGCAGGUUGAAGGUUGGGUAACACUAACUGGAGGACCGAACCGACUAAUGUUGAAAAAUUAGCGGAUGACUUGUGGCUGGGGGUGAAAGGCCAAUCAAACCGGGAGAUAGCUGGUUCUCCCCGAAAGCUAUUUAGGUAGCGCCUCGUGAAUUCAUCUCCGGGGGUAGAGCACUGUUUCGGCAAGGGGGUCAUCCCGACUUACCAACCCGAUGCAAACUGCGAAUACCGGAGAAUGUUAUCACGGGAGACACACGGCGGGUGCUAACGUCCGUCGUGAAGAGGGAAACAACCCAGACCGCCAGCUAAGGUCCCAAAGUCAUGGUUAAGUGGGAAACGAUGUGGGAAGGCCCAGACAGCCAGGAUGUUGGCUUAGAAGCAGCCAUCAUUUAAAGAAAGCGUAAUAGCUCACUGGUCGAGUCGGCCUGCGCGGAAGAUGUAACGGGGCUAAACCAUG
rnacentral:rRNA from 1 species